UGCGUAGGUGGCCCGAUUAGUCAGAGGUGAAAGCCCACAGCUUAACUGUGGAAUUGCCUUUGAUACUGUCGGGCUUGAAUUAGGACGAGGUCAGCGGAAUGUGACAUGUAGCGGUGAAAUGCAUAGAUAUGUCAUAGAACACCAAUUGCGAAGGCAGCUGACUAGACCUUGAUUGACACUGAGGCACGAAAGCGUGGGGAGCGAACAGGAUUAGAUACCCUGGUAGUCC
rnacentral:rRNA from 1 species